AUUGAACGCUGGCGGCAGGCUUAACACAUGCAAGUCGAGCGGGGGAGGUUGCUUCGGUAACUGACCUAGCGGCGGACGGGUGAGUAAUGCUUAGGAAUCUGCCUAUUAGUGGGGGACAACAUUCCGAAAGGGAUGCUAAUACCGCAUACGCCCGAAGGGGGAAAGCAGGGGAGCUUCGGACCCUGCGCUAAUAGAUGAGCCGAAGUCGGAUUAGCUAGUUGGUGGGGUAAAGGCCUACCAAGGCGACGAUCUGUAGCGGGUCUGAGAGGAUGAUCCGCCACACUGGGACUGAGACACGGCCCAGACUCCUACGGGAGGCAGCAGUGGGGAAUAUUGGACAAUGGGCGGAAGCCUGAUCCAGCCAUGCCGCGUGUGUGAAGAAGGCCUUUUGGUUGUAAAGCACUUUAAGCGAGGAGGGGGCUCUUAAGGUUAAUACCCUUGAUGAGUGGACGUUACUCGCAGAAUAAGCACCGGCUAACUCUGUGCCAGCAGCCGCCGUAACAC
rnacentral:rRNA from 1 species